AUUGAACGCUGGCGGAAUGCUUUACACAUGCAAGUCGAACGGCAGCACGGGUGCUUGCACCUGGUGGCGAGUGGCGAACGGGUGAGUAACAUAUCGGAACGUACCCAGUAAUGGGGGAUAACUAACCGAAAGGUUAGCUAAUACCGCAUACGCCCUGAGGGGGAAAGCGGGGGAUCGAAAGACCUCGCGUUAUUGGAGCGGCCGAUAUCUGAUUAGCUAGUUGGUGAGGUAAAGGCUCACCAAGGCGACGAGCAGUAGCAGGUCUGAGAGGAUGAUCUGCCACACUGGAACUGAGACACGGUCCAGACUCCUACGGGAGGCAGCAGUGGGGAAUUUUGGACAAUGGGGGAAACACUGAUCCAGCCAUUCCGCGUGAGUGAAGAAGGCCUUCGGGUUGUAAAGCUCUUUCGGCAGGGAAGAAACGGUUCAGGAUAAUACCCGGAGCUAAUGACGGUACCUGAAGAAGAAGCACCGGCUAACUACGUGCCAGCCGCCGCAGUAA
rnacentral:rRNA from 1 species